UGACGAGGUGAGAGGUUUGGGUGCGGGCGCCUUUUCUCUCUGCCGGUCUGGAAGAACGUCAUUUAAUUGUGUCCCACGGGAGGCACAUCGUUCUCGUUGCCUGCGUGCUCGUUGUUAUUACUUUGUUACAUUCGUGUGUGUGCUGUUUCUGCUCCGCGUACACACUUUUAGUUCCCGUGUAUACACGUAGAAAGUCUAUCUAUAUCUGUCGUUCGUUCUUUCGUGCGGUGUUCCGUAUACGAACGGAUUGUGUGUGCGUGUGUACCUUCAGAACGUGCGGCUUCGUGGCGCAGUGCGUGAAAUGAGUGACAAGGAUCGUUCUUCUCCCACUCUUGUUGAAAACAGUCUCAAGUCGCUGCUCGAUCAACCUAGUAUUUUUCCAUUGAUUGUGUUCUUUCAAAAAAAUCUGAAAGAAAAAAAGUCUGGGACACUUAUUGAAGUUUUUUACUUCGUUAUACAAAAUCAUUCAUAAAAUUAAAUAAAGGAUCCAGUCCAGGGAAAUAGAAGUUAUGGGAACCGGAAGGAUAUUCUCAAGCACAUUUACAACAGUUAAAUAGCCACUAGGAUCGAUUUUGGAGAAAGUGACCAAAGUGGUAGUGAAACGACCGGUACUAUAAAACAACUUUGAAAGUGUUACUUGAGAGAAAAAUAGAAAGAAGUAAUAAAGAAAGGUUCUGGAUGAAUCUGAUUAACUCUCUUAACUUUUUAACAUUAGAACAUAACAAACCAAAUCAAAUUGGUUUGGUUUUAGAUUUUUUGUUUUUAUUUAAUUCACCAUUUCCUUUGAUUUUGAAAUUAUUUAAAAAAUAU